rnacentral:rRNA from 1 species
CCUACGGGUGGCAGCAGUGGGGAAUUUUGCGCAAUGCUCGUAAGAGUGACGCAGCGACGCCGCGUGAAUGACGAAGGCCUUCGGGUCGUAAAGUUCUUUCGACAGGGAAGAAAAUGCCUAUAAGUAACUGUGUAUGUAUUGACGGUACCGGGAUAAGCAGCCCCGGCUAACUCCGUGCCAGCAGCCGCGGUAAUACGGAGAGGGCGAGCGUUGUUCGGAGUGACUGGGCGUAAAGAGCACGUAGGCGGUGUUGUAAGUCCUUAGUCAAAGACUAGAGCUCAACUUUAGUAAGGCUAGUGAUACUAUAAUACUGCGGUUUCAGAGAUGCUUGCACAAUUCCUGGUGUAGCGGUGAAAUGCGUAGAUAUCAGGAGGAAUACCGUUAGCGAAGGCGGCAAUCUGGCUGGAAACUGACGCUGAGGUGCGAACGCGUGGGUAGCAAACAGGAUUAGAUACCCGGGUAGUC